CAGCUUUCUCCUAAGAUGAGGCUGAGGUCUCUGGGGAAGGCAGAGUGUAGUCUAGAAGAAGAUGAGGCUGUUGGGUCUUCUCCUUUGCCUGGUGACGGCUCCCCAAGGUGUCCUGUCCCAGGUGCAGCUGAAGGAGUCGGGCCCAGGACAGGUGAAGCCCUCACAGACCCUCUCCCUCACCUGCACUGUCACUGGAGGCUCCAUCACAAGCAGGUAUUAUGGCUGGAGCUGGAUCCGCCAGACCCCAGGGAAGGGGCUGGAGUACAUUGGGAGCAUAGCUUAUAGUGGUAGCACUUACUACAGCCCAUCCUUCAAGAGCCGCGCCUCCAUCUCCAGAGACACGUCCAAGAACCAGUUCUCCCUGCAGCUGAGCUCCGUGACCACCGAGGACACGGCCGUUUAUUACUGUGCAAGUGACACAUCAAAGUGCCAGGAGUCAGCCCCAGGGCAGGUGAAGCCCUCAGAGACCACGUCCUCAGCCUGCAUUCUCUCUGGUAACUUUGUCACCAGUGAUGAAUCCUGGUGCUGGGUCCACCAGCCUCCAGGGAAGGGGCUGGAAUGGCUUGGGCAUGGUCACUAUAGGGCAUCAUCAUGGAACACAGACUACAACCCAUGCAUCAAGGACCGCAUCUCCAUCACUGCUGACAUCACUUCCAAGAAAUAG